rnacentral:rRNA from 1 species
UACAGAGACUGCAAGCGUUAUUCGGAUUCACUGGGCGUAAAGGGUGCGCAGGCGGCCAAGUGUGUGAGGCGUGAAAGCCUGGGGCUUAACUCCAGAAUUGCACCUCAAACUACAUGGCUAGAGCAUUGGAGAGGGUAGCAGAAUUCACGGUGUAGCAGUGAAAUGCGUAGAUAUCUGGAGGAAUACCGGUGGCGAAGGCGGCAUCCUGGACCGGCAUUGACGCUGAACAGCGAAAGCUAGGGGAGCAAACGGG